UGGAAGUAGGGAAGUUCACUUUUCCAUUUGAUGGUGCCACUUUGUAACAACCUCAAGGUCAGAACUGCCUUCUUCAGAUGACAUCGUAACUAUGGGUCUAGAGGGAGAUGAGCUGAUGACAUUCCUUCCUUAUAACUACUUCUUAGGGCCUCAUUCUGUAAGGAUGUUCGUCAAAGGCCCAGCUGGAUGAUGGCUUCUCUACUACUACGAAUGUUGAUGGACACACUUUGGGUUUUAUUACUUACAAUUCAAUUUCUCAAUGUACACUAAUGGGAAAGCCAGAAACAGUGACAACUAUACUUCCAGUGUCUGCUCUGAAUCAGCUGCAGUGUUUUCACACUGGCCUGAGCAGCCCAGACCUGCACACUACUACAGACUGCAAGCAUUAACAGGAUCUUCUAUACUGAUGCUUAUACCAACAUGAGUGAGACCAACCAGUUGAAGGUCACUAAAUACUGCUCACUCUUCCCCAUGAACUACAUCAUCAGGGGACUGAUUUUAACCAUGACAACCUUAAGAGAUGUGUUUCUUGUAGGAGUCAUGCUGAGCACAAGCACAUACAUGGUGAUUAUCUUGUUCAGACAUCAGAGGCAAUGCAAGCAUCUUCAUAGCAAAAGCCAAUUGAGAGCAUCCCCUGAGAAAAGGGCCACCCAGACCAUCUUGCUGCUGGUGUUUUCCUAUGUGGUCAUGUACUGGGUGGACUUCAUCAUCUCAUCCUCCUCAGUCCUGUUAUGGAUGUAUGACCCAGUCAUACUUACUGUUCAGAAGUUUGUGAUAAAUCCCUAUCCCACAAUUACUCCUUUGAUACAAAUCAGUUCUGAUAACCGAAUAAGCAUUAUGCAAAAAAUAUGCCACCAGAUUUUUUAAAAAGUGUAAUUUUUCUCUUAUUUAGAAAAGAAUUUGCUUAUUUUAUUCAUAUGUAUUAGUUUUGGCCUGGCAUGUAUGCAUGUGUGCAUUCCUGGUAUUCACAAACGUCAGAUGAGGUCAUGGGAUCUCCUGGAUCUGGAAGUACAGAGUGUUGUAACGUGCCAUGCUGGUGCAGCACCAAUAAUUUUAUUCCCUAAAACACAAAUUUUUCUUUUUUUCUUAAGUUUACAUUAGUUUUAUUUCAGUUUACAAUUCCCAGGUCACACUCUAUCACUGAGAAAAGUCAGGACUGGCACUGAAAGAGAGGCCGGCGGAGGGAUGUUGAUUACUGGCUUGUUCAGCCUGCUUUUUUAUUCCCUCCCGUGUUCCCCUCUCCACUGCUUGCCCCCUGCUCUACUCACCCUACCCAUAUUUAUUUCAUAUAUGUGGGGACACUGUCACUAUCUUGAGAUACAGCCAAAAAUGGCAUCAGAUCCCAUUAGAGAUGGUUGUGAGCCCUCCUGUGGUUGCUGGGAAUUGAACUCAGGACCUCUUGUGGAGAAGUGGGUGCUCUUAACCACUGAGCCGUCUCUCUAGAUCCAGGUUUUUCUUAAACUAUAUAAUAGUUCAAGUAAUAAAGCAUGAUUCUUCAUAUGGUUUAAAUAGAAUUUGUAGUAUUAUACUUAUUCAUUCCUUUGACAUUUUUGCUGCCAAGAAGUAUAUGGUUCUUAAAUUCAUUAUACAUCAUAAAUUCAUAUCUCCACAGGAAUUCUCUUAGUCCUUCCUUUUUGCUCUAUAUCAUAAAUGUUCCCUUAAUUCUGAUGUUAUAUAAAAGAUGAUCCUUGCUGAUAGUGACUUUUUAAAAAAAUAUUUUAAUUUACUCUAAAUAAUCAAGAAUAUUUAAAAUAUUUGAUUGUACCUUUAACUCUGAUUCGUAAGUAUAAUUUCUAUGAACCCAUAAAAGUAAUGAGUUCAAAAUUUCCAGUUUUUACUACUAAUUAAGUAUUAAGUACUUAAUGAGUCUUAUAUGAAAUUAUCAUAUGCCUCUAUGUUUGUAUGUAACUUUAUUAACCCUUACUGAAAUAUUGAUAAAUAAAAAUUGUGCACAUAUGCAUACAUGAUGUAG
rnacentral:lncRNA from 1 species